rnacentral:rRNA from 1 species
CCUACGGGUGGCAGCAGUGGGGAAUAUUGGACAAUGGGGGGAACCCUGAUCCAGCCAUGCCGCGUGUGUGAAGAAGGCCCUCGGGUUGUAAAGCACUUUCAGUGAGGAAGAACGCCUGGUGGUUAAUACCCAUCAGGAAAGACAUCACUCACAGAAGAAGCACCGGCUAACUCCGUGCCAGCAGCCGCGGUAAUACGGAGGGUGCGAGCGUUAAUCGGAAUUACUGGGCGUAAAGCGCGCGUAGGUGGCUUGAUAAGCCGGUUGUGAAAGCCCCGGGCUCAACCUGGGAACGGCAUCCGGAACUGUCAAGCUAGAGUGCAGGAGAGGAAGGUAGAAUUCCCGGUGUAGCGGUUAAAUGCGUAGAGAUCGGGAGGAAUACCAGUGGCGAAGGCGGCCUUCUGGACUGACACUGACACUGAGGUGCGAAAGCGUGGGUAGCAAACAGGAUUAGAUACCCCAGUAGUC